AGAGUUUGAUCCUGGCUCAGGACGAACGCUGGCGGCGUGCUUAACACAUGCAAGUGGAGCGACGAACCGGGGCUUGCCCCGGGGCAGAGCCGCGAACGGGUGAGUAACACGUGGGUAACCUACCCCGAUGACCGGGACAACCCGAGGAAACUCGGGCUAAUACCGGAUGUGCUCCUUGACCUCGAGGUCAAGGCGUAAAGAUAGCUUCGGCCUUCGCAUCGGGACGGGCCCGCGGCCCAUUAGCUUGUUGGUGGGGUAACGGCCUACCAAGGCGACGAUGGGUAGCUGGUCUGAGAGGACGAUCAGCCACACUGGGACUGAGACACGGCCCAGACUCCUACGGGAGGCAGCAGUGGGGAAUCUUGCGCAAUGCGCGAAAGCGUGACGCAGCAACGCCGCGUGGGGGAAGACGGCCUUCGGGUUGUAAACCCCUUUCAGUUGGGACGAAGCUUCGUCGGUGAAUAGCCGGCUGGAGUGACGGUACCUUCACAAGAAGCCCCGGCUAACUACGUGCCAGCAGCCGCGGUAAUACGUAGGGGGCUAGCGUUGUCCGGAAUCAUUGGGCGUAAAGCGCGUGUAGGCGGUUCGGUAAGUCCGCUGUGAAAGUCGGGGGCUCAACCCUCGAAAGCCGGUGGAUACUGUCGGGCUAGAGUACGGAAGAGGCGAGUGGAAUUCCUGGUGUAGCGGUGAAAUGCGCAGAUAUCAGGAGGAACACCAAUUGCGAAGGCAGCUCGCUGGGACGUUACUGACGCUGAGACGCGAAAGCGUGGGGAGCAAACAGGAUUAGAUACCCCCGUAGUCC
rnacentral:rRNA from 1 species